rnacentral:lncRNA from 1 species
AACAGAAUAUCAUAAGAACAAACUCUAACAAUCAGUUGAAAAGGGCUCACUCAUCAGAUUGAUACAAAGCAAAUAAAAAACCUCGAACAAAAACGCAGACCGGACGUGGGAGGAUUUAUACAUCCCUUACAACAAAAAGACAUAAAGUACACAUCUGAGUGUAAUCGCAGUUACUGGCAGCUAGUUCAAAACCAAUCACAACUAAUUAAAAAAAAAAAUCAUGUAUCUAAGAUUAAAACAAUCAAUCAGUACACAUCUAAAAUCCAAUAAAUUUAGUGUAAAAGAGGGACGAAAGAUACCAAAGGGACAGUCAAACUCAUAAAUCGAAAAUAAACUGACAAUGCCUUGGCUAAAAAUGAAAAAAAUAAACAGACAAACAACAGUAUACAUGACACAACGUAGAAAACUAAAGAAUGAGCAACCUGAACCCAACCAAAAACUAGGGGUGAUCUCAGGUGCUCCGGAAGGGUAAGCAGAUCCUGCUCCACAUGUGGCACCCGUCGUGUUGCUUAUAAACAAACUCAUCAUAGAUACCACACUGAAAAUCUAAAUUAGUCAAUUUGACCAAUUUAAUUAGUCAUUUUGACUGUCCUCUAGAUGACAAUGCACUUUAAUCAUUUUGACUAUGCUCUUAGUCGUUUGACUAGAUGGUUAGUCACAUUUGACUGAGUAGGGUGGUCAUUAUGACAAUGUUAGGAAGUCAAAAUGACUAUAUGUCAUACUCGUUAUGACGAAUUGGAU